rnacentral:snoRNA from 1 species
UGCGAUGAUGACACCAUUUUCCUAUUUGGCUUAGAGGCGUCUUCAUUGAACCUCCCGUGAAGCAAACAAAUAUAGACUACAACGGUAUCUGAUG